rnacentral:rRNA from 1 species
UACGAAGGGGGCUAGCGUUGUUCGGAAUUACUGGGCGUAAAGCGCACGUAGGCGGAUAUUUAAGUCAGGGGGUGAAAUCCCGGGGCUCAACCCCGGAACUGCCUUUGAUACUGGGUAUCUCGAGUCCGAGAGAGGUGAGUGGAAUUCCGAGUGUAGAGGUGAAAUUCGUAGAUAUUCGGAGGAACACCAGUGGCGAAGGCGGCUCACUGGCUCGGUACUGACGCUGAGGUGCGAAAGCGUGGGGGAGCAAAACAGG